rnacentral:pre_miRNA from 1 species
UUUUGAUUCCCCUGAAGAUCAUAUUCACAUGCAGAUUCUGACUCAUUUGGUCUGGGGUGGGCCUGAGAUUCUGCAUUUCGAAAAAGCUCUUAGGCAAACUCCAU